AGAGUGAUAGGUUAUAAGAAAACCGUUGCCGUUCAAUGACAAAAUAAGCCUUAAGCUUCACUCUG
rnacentral:tRNA from 1 species